AUAGAAAAUAUGGAAUAAUCUUAGACUAGAUACAGAAUUGAUCUUACCUGACCGAAUUUGGCCAUGUAGCCUUGUAUCGUAUCAGCGGCGCAAUAAGGAUCAUUGACACAUCGAGCGUAGGCUGAUCUUGGCAAAUUAAACGUGUAUACAUCCGGGAGGAAAAAUCACUUAAAAUCAAAUAAAUAUUCUUGCAGGAAUUGCGUAUCAGCAUAUCUCUUUGUAUUAUCAUUUUACAGUUAGCUAAUUAUCGAUUCUCGGAAACAUGCAUUUUAUGCAACUAUGCAGCACAAUGCUCCGUUUACUUAAUUAUCGAAUGACGCAACAAUCUCAAUGUGAAUUAACGGAUAAUAUCCGUCUAGGCCUUUCUCCACUACUAUCAGAUGUUCUCUUAGUUAUUCGUACUUAUUUUACAUUUAUCUUUCUUUGCCUUCUUUUUUUCAAUGAGUUACGUGUUUCUCUAUUACAAAA